AAUUAAUGAACUUGAAUAAGUGUAUACCUUGAAAGUAUAAAAAAGAAAUAUCUUAACUUUCUAUUAAUUU